AUGAGCCACGCAGAUCGUGGGCUUCUCAGGGGGAGGUGGCGAGGUAGGCAGUGGUGGCCAAGCAAGGCUCAUACACUGAUAAAAAACUACAAUCAAAAGCAAGCUUAUGGAGUUACAAGUCACAAGCACUCUCACACUCGCCCAGACACAGGCACAUACAGACAAAACAAAGCUCGGCGCUUACAAAAUUCACACAGUGUUUCAAUUGCACUUCACAAGGGAACCUCUGUGUAUCGGGGAGCACAUCUCUUGAUCGUUACAAAAUUGUAAGACUUCCCGUUCCUCUCCCUUUGCGCCAUCCAGUCCCACAUACAAAUCGAUGGAGAUGGAAUGCUAGUCGAACACCGAUCAAAUAAACCGCAAAACUGCCCAUGCCCAAAGCCAGCUAAGAUCAUCAACGGCAUCAACGGCAUCAUCAACAACAUCAACAUCGUCAGCAGCGGA
ensembl:ncRNA lncRNA:CR34046 long non-coding RNA:CR34046